rnacentral:rRNA from 1 species
CAGUCGCCACGGUAAUACGGAGGGAGCUAGCGUUGUUCGGAAUUACUGGGCGUAAAGCGCGCGUAGGCGGUUACUCAAGUCAGAGGUGAAAGCCCGGGGCUCAACCCCGGAACUGCCUUUGAAACUAGGUGACUAGAAUCUUGGAGAGGUCAGUGGAAUUCCGAGUGUAGAGGUGAAAUUCGUAGAUAUUCGGAAGAACACCAGUGGCGAAGGCGACUGACUGGACAAGUAUUGACGCUGAGGUGGGAAAGCGUGGGGAGCAAACAGGAUUAGAUACCCGCGUAGUCCCUGUCUCUUAUAC